rnacentral:tRNA from 1 species
UGGGAUGUAGCUCAGUGGUAGAGCACUUGCCUGACAUGUGUGAGACCCUGGGUUCAAUCCUCGGUACCUCAA